UUCAGGAUUGACACAAUGCAAAAAUAAGAUAAAAAUAAAAUGUCUCCUACGCGUCAUGUGAAGUCAUCUUUAAAGCUCAGAGCAGAGAGGAGUUUACGUGAUGCUUGAAUUCUCUGAUUUGGAUUUCACGCUAAAUGGAAUGCUUUUAGAGCCGUCAUGGCCCCC